rnacentral:tRNA from 1 species
GCGGGAUUAGUACAUUGGUAGUAUGCCACCUUCCCAAGGUGGAGAGGGGGGUUCGAUUCCCCUAUCCCGCUCCA